rnacentral:rRNA from 1 species
UACGUAGGGGCCAAGCGUUGUUCGGAUUUACUGGGCGUAAAGGGCGCGUAGGCGGCCUUGUCAGUCAGGCGUGAAAGCCCCGGGCUCAACCUGGGAAGGCGCUUGGGACGGCGAGGCUGGAGUUCGGGAGAGGAGAGUGGAAUUCCCAGUGUAGAGGUGAAAUUCGUAGAUAUUGGGAAGAACACCGGUGGCGAAGGCGGCUCUCUGGACCGACACUGACGCUGAGGCGCGAAAGCGUGGGGAGCAAACAGG